ensembl:lncRNA
UUUAUAUAUAUAUAUUAUUUUUUUUAUUUUAUUUUUUUAAAGAAAUCAUGCAAGGAUUAUUAAGUUGAUCAAAAGUGAGUAAUAAGUAAUUUGAGACACGUGAAUCUACUUAUGUAAGACAUUGUUUGCCUGGAACAAAAGACAGUUGCAUUGUUAGAUUAUAGUGUCAGUAGUUUAUUUAAUAUAGUCAAUACACUUGUGUAGGAUAUUCUAAAUGUCUUAAUCUAUAAUUUCUAGCAAGAAUUGUAAAGCAUUGUACGUGGAAAUCAUCCUUGUCAUUGGGUGUAUGUGUUUUGAUGGUGGAUAAAGCUCGGGAGACCAGUGUGACUGUGAUGAAUGUACAUUUUGAUGUUUAUUUUACAGUAUUUGUGGGAGUGAGAGGUAUGAGCAAGAGAGAUGGAGAGAGAGAGAGAGAGGUGUGCUUCUGAUUGGAUUGGAGGCAGUGCUGAAGAGGCACUGAGAUACAACGAGAGAGUGAGAGAGAACGAGAGGGCACGAAUGCAGUUUACACAUUAGCCCAGCUGCCAGAAAUUACAGCAAGCUCAGUUUUGCCGGACUGGAACAGGGGGGCGUGAAACAGGAGGAUGGCAAGGACACGGAAAAUGAAGAGAACCCACCGUUACAUUCUCUUGGGAAAUGAUCUGUGGUGAAUAAACAGAAACCGCAGAAGAGGCUGAGAGAGAGAGAGAGAGAGAGAGAGAGAGAGAGGGAGGGAGAACGGGGGAAAAAAGAGGUGGAGGGGAGAGCCUAGCAUCCUCUGAGGUAGCGCCUGUGGAGCCUGCUCAUGCCGCUGCGUGCACGCCUGUGUAUGUGUGUGUGUGAGUGCACGAAUGCUGACAUGUUGAUUUAUAGCUGCAUGUGUAAUUCUCUAAGACUCCGAUUAGCAAGUCAUUUUGCAUUCAUGCAUAUGACCGGGACUGAUGCGACGAGCCGCUUAGACAAUUGAGCUUAUCUGAUGUCUCUGUCUGAUGUUCUUCGUUUUCUUUCUAGCUUUUUUUUUCUUUAUUUCACACAUUCAUAAUAUCAGACCUUUUGGAAUUCUGUUUAGGGUAAUCUGUCUUUCUUUCUCUCUCUGCCAGCACAGUAGACUUAGUGUCGCAAGUGAAGAAAAAAAAGAGCCAUGGGCUGUUUCCUGCUUCGUAAAGGCCCAUUUCUCCACCCUUGAUGUGUCUUACCGUUCCUGCCUGCUGACAGCAAGUUCUUCUUCCAUACAUCCCCAGACGCUCUCAGAAUGCACCUACUUUCCUGCCAGCAAAAGAAUGGUGACAGGAGCGCAGAGACUUGAGGAUAUCUGGCGUUAAAAAGUCAGCUGAGGACAUAGGACCAAAAAGAAAGAACAAAUCCUUGAUUGGGAUUUUAUUAUUUUUUUUAUAUCGAAAUCACUUGACGUUUACUACCACGAAACCAUCCAGCGUUUUAAGUUGGAACGGAACCCUGAGGGGCCAAAGGAAUAAGUGUCAUCCAAUCACACAAAGAUCCUUUGAUUUCAUAUCGCACCGAGAGGAUCCUAAGCGAUACCAUUCAACGGGAGAUAAUUGAACUUCCUGCCUGGCAGGCAGCUGAAAAUGGAGAACUAGAAGUUCAAGUGGAUUUUCUGGGGGAUACGUUCAAGCACCCCACCACUCAGAAUCAGAUUUCAGGCCAGUUCUGAUGGCGAUCUUCUAGCAAUCUGUAUUGUCCGGUGUGUUUUUCCCCCCAUCCUUGUUCUGUCCAGUUCUGAGAAGGGAAAUUUUGACAAUUUAACUGAUUUUGGGAAUGUCAUAUAUUAGAUCUCAACUUUUAGACUGACAUUCAACAGUUUUACUGUGUAGGUCUAGAAAGGAAAACAUAAGAAAUAGAGAUCUGAUGGUAUGCCUUGGACUGGCAAGGCUGUUCUCCUGCAAUCUGGGGCAAAAAAAAAAAAAAGUAUUGCAUGCCUUAGUUUUACUGUUCAGAAUCAGGUAAACUGAAAGACAGGAGAACAAGACCAAAGAAAGCGAAAAAGGGAGGGAGGGGAACAGAUGCCACAGAUCGUCGCUAACUCCUACCUUUGAUAAGUUAUGCUGCUUUUUCCAUUUUUAUCUUCUUUUCAUCUUGAAAAUUAGAUUUUUUUUCUUCUUUUUUUUUUCUUCCAGAUUAGACCCUUAAGACUGUAAGGGAGAUCGUAACACAUUGCAGUGACUGAGAUAGGGUGGGGAAAAGGAGGGAGAAGCUUUUUUUCCCCCCAGCUUCUCAUUUUUGCAGUUUUAGGUAUUUAUCUUGUCACUCCAUCUCCGUUUUUAUCCCCCUCUCCAUGCCUCUGGGAGAGCAAAGGAGGGAAUUGAGUUAUUUCAUCUCCGCUGGAAUUUUUUUUUUUAUUUGCCUUCCCGACUGAUUUCUCUUCUGUACUCCUGUCUACCCCAGACAAAACGCAGUUGUAUCUCAAGUCAAAAUCAGGAACCUGAUAGCGUUUGGCAAAAGAUUCCACAAGGAGAGCCAGGCAACGAGAACAAGAGACGGAAAUCUUCUGAACCUAACCCUCCCCUCUCCACCACCACCCCCAGUUCCCAUCCAGUUUCAGAGGUGUCCUCGGAUAUUCCUUCCUCUUUUUCCCCGGAAUCUGUCAGCAUUCCCGACGGGACGCAGCCAGCUUGUAUCCGUGCCAAUCCUUUGAUAUUAGCUCCCGGUGUCGUCUGCUUCAUUCUGUGAGUAGAUCGCACUGUCUCCGCCUGUCUGUGUGAGUGUGUGCAGUCAUGUGUGCGUGUGUAUUUGACUUUGGCUCCAUAUGGUGUUCAAUCCCCCGUGUAGCUGUGCUUAUCUAUCGUCUGUUUAUGUGUGUACGUCUGGGUGGGUGUUUAACUUGGAUGUGUACGCUACGCGAAUGUAAAAAUGAGUCAAGGUUAAUGGCACAGGCUUCUUUGCUGGGCUACUCAUGCAAAUAGUGCAUAGCUUGUUUUCCGUAAUGGACAAAUAUAUGUUCUACUGCAGAUACAGUGUGUUUGUAGAGGCACGUAUGUAGCAGGUGUCACAAGCGUAACGUUCUUGUGUGCAUGUACCUUCUAGGCUAUAAGGUGACACCAGACCAUGAUUAGUUCCCGGAGGUUGUGCUCUAAUGAAUGCAAAUUGCUGUAGAUAUACUCAAUGGAAGAUACAAUCCUUUUGUGGAAUGUCUUUUCAUAAAACAAGCUCAAUAGAGCGGCAUAUUUAUUCUCUGCACUAAUGCAUGUGCUUUCGGCGUGAAGUUUAUAUACGACGGAGAGGGAGAGGUUCAUGGAGUAAGCUGUGAUGAUAGUUAUUCAUAAUAAAUGUGACUGACAAUGCUGUUGCA